rnacentral:rRNA from 2 species
UGGGGAAUAUUGCACAAUGGGGGAAACCCUGAUGCAGCGACGCCGCGUGAGGGAAGAAGGCUUUCGGGUUGUAAACCUCUUUUACCAGGGACGAAGAACGUGACGGUACCUGGAGAAAAAGCAACGGCUAACUACGUGCCAGCAGCCGCGGUAAUACGUAGGUUGCAAGCGUUGUCCGGAUUUACUGGGUGUAAAGGGCGUGUAGGCGGAGAUGCAAGUUGGGAGUGAAAUCCCGGGGCUCAACCCCGGAACUGCUUUCAAAACUGCAUCCCUUGAGUAUCGGAGAGGCAAGCGGAAUUCCUAGUGUAGCGGUGAAAUGCGUAGAUAUUAGGAGGAACACCAGUGGCGAAGGCGGCUUGCUGGACGACAACUGACGCUGAGGCGCGAAAGCGUGGGGAGCAAACAGG